AAUUAGAACAUCACAGCUCAGUUAGGUGUAAUUAGAACAUCACAGCUCAGUUAGGUGUAAUUAGAACAUCACAACUCAGUUCGGUGUAAUUAGAACAUCACAGCUCAG